UACGUAGGGUGCGAGCGUUGUCCGGAAUUAUUGGGCGUAAAGGGCUCGUAGGCGGUCUGUCGCGUCGGGAGUGAAAACUCAGGGCUUAACCCUGAGCCUGCUUCCGAUACGGGCAGACUAGAGGUAUGCAGGGGAGAACGGAAUUCCUGGUGUAGCGGUGAAAUGCGCAGAUAAUCAGGAGGAACACCGGUGGCGAAGGCGGUUCUCUGGGCAUUACCUGACGCUGAGGAGCGAAAGUGUGGGGAGCGAACAGG
rnacentral:rRNA from 1 species